CCUACGGGAGGCAGCAGUGAGGAAUAUUGGUCAAUGGACGAGAGUCUGAACCAGCCAAGUAGCGUGAAGGAUGACGGCCCUAUGGUUUGUAAACUUCUUUUAUAUGGGAAUAAAGUGUGGCACGUGUUGGUUUUUGUAUGUACCAUAUGAAUAAGCAUCGGCUAACUCCGUGCCAGCAGCCGCGGUAAUACGGAGGAUCCGAGCGUUAUCCGGAUUUAUUGGGUUUAAAGGGAGCGUAGGUGGUUUGUUAAGUCAGUGGUGAAAGUUUGUGGCUCAACCGUAAAAUUGCAGUUGAAACUGGCAGACUUGAGUACAGUAGAGGUAGGCGGAAUUCGUGGUGUAGCGGUGAAAUGCAUAGAUAUCACGCAGAACUCCGAUUGCGAAGGCAGCUUACUAAACUAUAACUGACACUGAGGCUCGAAAGUGUGGGUAUCAAACAGGAUUAGAUACCCGUGUAGUC
rnacentral:rRNA from 1 species